AUUGAACGCUGGCGGCAUGCCUUACACAUGCAAGUCGAACGGCAGCACGGGUGCUUGCACCUGGUGGCGAGUGGCGAACGGGUGAGUAAUACAUCGGAACAUGUCCUGUAGUGGGGGAUAGCCCGGCGAAAGCCGGAUUAAUACCGCAUACGAUCUACGGAUGAAAGCGUGGGACCUUCGGGCCUUGCGCUGUAGGGUUGGCCGAUGGCUGAUUAGCUAGUUGGUGGGGUAAAGGCCUACCAAGGCGACGAUCAGUAGCUGGUCUGAGAGGACGACCAGCCACACUGGGACUGAGACACGGCCCAGACUCCUACGGGAGGCAGCAGUGGGGAAUUGUGGACAAUGGGCGAAAGCCUGAUCCAGCAAUGCCGCGUGUGUGAAGAAGGCCUUCGGGUUGUAAAGCACUUUUGUCCGGAAAGAAAUCCUUGGCCCUAAUACGGUCGGGGGAUGACGGUACCGGAAGAAUAAGCACCGGCUAACUACGUG
rnacentral:rRNA from 1 species